rnacentral:miRNA from 1 species
UAUUAUGCAAUAUUUCACUCG